ACGGAGCAAGACCGCGUGGGGGAGGAAGGUUCUUGGAUUGUAAACCCCUUUUCUCAGGGAAGAACACAAUGACGGUACCUGAGGAAUCAGCAUCGGCUAACUCCGUGCCAGCAGCCGCGGUAAUACGGAGGAUGCAAGCGUUAUCCGGAAUGAUUGGGCGUAAAGCGUCCGCAGGUGGCAGUUCAAGUCUGCUGUCAAAGACCGGGGCUUAACUUCGGAAAGGCAGUGGAAACUGAACAGCUAGAGUAUGGUAGGGGCAAAGGGAAUUCCUGGUGUAGCGGUGAAAUGCGUAGAGAUUGGGAAGAACACCGGUGGCGAAAGCGCUCUGCUAGGCCGAAACUGACACUCAUGGACGAAAGCUAGGGGAGCG
rnacentral:rRNA from 1 species